CUAUAACUGCCCUAACGGCUGGACCCUGCCCCAAUCCUAAAGAGUAAAUUCCAAUCUGUGUACAUGAAAUCCCACCAAUGUCCACCUUGGAAAGCUCCACACUGAAAAGUUCCACCUACUAAGUUUUCUGUACCCUAAUAAUAGGUUUCUCCGCUGAUGCAGUAAGCCAGAUCAAGCUGAAUCAAAAAAGUAAAAGAAUAGGUUUACUUGAGCAAAACAGCUCCCAGCUCCUGGCUGCCAGGAUACCUUUCCACACGAGCUGCAAUGCUUACAUUUGGUAUCCCCUCGUGGUCUAAGCUGCACUAGGACCCAUCCCUUAUCUCCAGUCCACCUGCAACAGAUUCACCUUCUGGCUCACUGAUCACUCAGCACCCCAUCCAUCAGCAGCAACUAGGAUCUCCAAUUGGUGGCUCAGAGCCAGAGGCCCAUGACUCCUGAUUAUACCCUGAUGGUGAAGAUCCAUUUCACCCAAAGGACUUCGGUACCCUGAUUCAGCAGGAAGUAGUCUAAUGAUAACAUUGCCCCCUUUUCCAUGACCUGGUUGUUUAUCAAUAAUAAACAAAAAAUGGGGGAAUAUAAAUCCCCUCUAGCCACACAAGUAGCCAGACCCCUCCCACAAAAACCUCUAACUGCCAGGUUCCACCCACAGGAUACUCUAACUGCCCUGACUUCUGGAUCCUGCUUCGAUCCUAUAGAGCAAGAAUCUCAAUCUAUGGACAUGAAAUCCCACCAAUCUCCACCUUGGAAAGCUCCACCCUGAAAAGUUUCACCCCCUUCCCAGAAACUCUAUAUAAGCCCUGUACCCUGUUCAGUUUGCUGCUGUUUGUCACCUGAGCAGAGGCAGCCACCCCCCUGUUUUUUCCCCUCUCAAUAAAUCUCUUGUGUGAGGUUUGC